GACGAACCGAGCGAACGUUGUUCGGAAUCACUGGGCUUAAAGGGCGCGUAGGCGGGCUGCCGAGUCCGGGGUGAAAGCCCCCCGCUCAACGGGGGAACGGCCUCGGAUACUGGCGGCCUGGAGGCGGGUAGGGGCAAGCGGAACUGUGGGUGGAGCGGUGAAAUGCGUUGAGAUCCACAGGAACUCCGGUGGCGAAGGCGGCUUGCUGGACCCGAACUGACGCUGAGGCGCGAAAGCCAGGGGAGCGAACGGG
rnacentral:rRNA from 1 species